GUUUCAUAAGAUCAAGAACCUCUGGCUCAAAUGAGUCAAUGUCGUCAUCUUCUUCUAUUUCCUCUUCUCGCGUGGUUGCACCUUCUGCCUGGCUAUAGUAUUUAGGCUCAGGUGUCGUUUUCUCACUGUCGAAGUCUCUGAUAACUUCAAAGUCGUAGCUGUGGGAAGGAAGAUAAACAUGGAUCACCGGGUACUCUAAGAUAGUUACUUGAGCAAGCUGUUGUCUCAAAGGAGCCUUGAUGUCCAGCUCCUUGAAAGGAACCUUUGCACCCUGCAACCAAGGGAGAGAAAAAGUAAAACACUAACACAACAACGCAAAUAUGUGGUAAUAAUCCAAACCUUGGGGUAUGUGCGUAUAAAAAGCUUGAGAGAAUCAAGAUCCACGUCAGAAAAAGGCUUGAGCUUGUGAAUCCAAGGGCCUGGCUUAAGAUGAUUCUCAAUCACAGAGCAAAGGCUUGUAUCUUCACCAACACUGUGAUGGAUUGUUACAUCGUUAAAUAGAGCAAAAACAAACAUGAAACUAUCAGUCAAAGAGAAGAUACUAACCCAUGAUCAACAAGAACAACAUCUGUAGAGUGAAACCGCCACUCAAUCGUCCAAUGAAUGCACUUUCUCCUAAACCAAGAACAAGAUUGGUUCAGAAACUAAUAAUCUAAAGCUACAAUCUCAGAGAAUCUAAAAUCACUACCCGUUAUCGUAACGACUCUGGUUCUUAUCCCUCUUCAACAUCCCACCAGGGAGAAACCAGAGCUUAGUUUUGCGGUCAGCAGCAGCAACCUGAAGGCUCCGAAGAUCAUAGGGUAGCCUAAGCCUAAAGUGAGGGUUUUUACAUAGCUGAUGUCUCCUUCUCAGAGCAGACUCCGCCACUCUCUUCGUCUCCUCCAGCAAAUUGUAAUCUAUGCAUUUAAAAAAAAAAUCAAAACUUUCAUCAACCCUUAGACGAGAAAGCUAAUAAUAACAAUAAAAAUACAAAAUCAAAACUUUCAUUAACAAUUAGACGAGGAAGCUAAUAAUAAUUACAAAGCUAAAAAUCAAAAAUUUCAUCAACCCUUAGUACUAACAAUCAAAGAUAUAAACUUUGAAUGCGAUUAUUACCGGAGAGGAGGAGAUUAUCGUCGAACUUGGAGAGGGGAACGAAGUCAGUGAGUUUCCGUUUUCCGGUACAGCCUGUUCGCUUCUUGUGAGCUUUGACACAAGGGAGGGCGCACGAUCGAAUUGAGCAUCCUGGGCAUUUGUAUUUCCAUGGGUUCGACUUGCAUUCGCCGCAGACUUUAUCAUCAUCGUCCAUUGAUUUUUGUUCGGAUUCGACGUUGUUCAUCGUAAAGGUUUGGUUUUUCUGAGGUGGGAGAGGUUUAUUGGAAACUAGGGUUUAUUAAUUGUUGGGGAUCCAACUCAAAGCCCAUUAGAUAUUGAACUACGCCCAUAUGGUUAGGAAACCCUAAACUUCAUCUUUCUAUACAUAAGGAGCUACCUCCUCCUUAUGAGAAAUCUCAUCUUCUUAGACUUUAAGAACAUAUUUUCAUAAAGAUUUUGUAUUUAAAGGUUCACUUUAACCUUGUAAUCAUCUUGGUGAUGAACCUUCAAUCAAUGAAAUCUCUUUUAUAUUCUUUUUCCAUUUGAUUUUACCUAAACAUUUUUCCCAAGCCUCAAGAAUCUAAUUUUUAUUCUUAGAUUCUUUUAUUGUAUUGAUUCAACAAACAUUUCAGCAUAAACACCAUUUUUGGAUCAAACAGUUGGCGCUAGAAAGAGGGGGCUGGAGAGAACUAUCUUGAAAUCAUUUCAAAUUUGGGAAAAUCCUAGAUCUGUGGCCAUCAAACUCAGUCCAAGAGAUAAGUUUACAAAACGAUAUCUCAUUAUUAAAUUCGAUUUCAUUGUAUACAUAUGCUUAAUCAAGGAGAAGGAUUUGAACGAUUUAAAAAAAAAAUUAUUAUUAUUGGAUUUAGGGUUGCCGGUCAAAACGGAGAUGGUGGGAGUUCCAUCAGAAUCCCGACGACAACCUAGCGUGUGACAGAAGGAGAGAUCGGCCAGAGCUGUUUCUCCUGCAGUAGCCGUACUGUCCAGAUAGAGCUCUCCGGCAAAGGAAACAAAGGCGGUCGCAGGUCGAUCCGUGAGCUGACGAGAUCCAGACAAUUUCUAAUCUCCGGCGAGCUUGUGGAGAGAACUAUCUUGAAAUCAUUUCAAAUUUGGGAAAAUCCUAGAUCUGUGGCCAUCAAACUCAGUCCAAGAGAUAAGUUUACAAAACGAUAUCUCAUUAUUAAAUUCGAUUUCAUUGUAUACAUAUGCUUAAUCAAGGAGAAGGAUUUGAACGAUUUAAAAAAAAAAUUAUUAUUAUUGGAUUUAGGGUUGCCGGUCAAAACGGAGAUGGUGGGAGUUCCAUCAGAAUCCCGACGACAACCUAGCGUGUGACAGAAGGAGAGAUCGGCCAGAGCUGUUUCUCCUGCAGUAGCCGUACUGUCCAGAUAGAGCUCUCCGGCAAAGGAAACAAAGGCGGUCGCAGGUCGAUCCGUGAGCUGACGAGAUCCAGACAAUUUCUAAUCUCCGGCGAGCUUGUAAAAGGACGAGGUCGUCGUUGAAUCCUCAGAUCCGUCGAGCUCCAUUCAACUGCAACCGACAACAACCUAGCGCGAUCUGGAUCAAAGGAAAACGAUCCCGUAAUCACCUUGUCAAUCGUCGGCACCGACUGUGGAGACUCUCGAACGUGCUCCAAGUUCGAGACUAGAUCACGGCGAGGAAAGCUUCCUCCUUUUCAUCCCUACGCUGACGAUCUUCCACCGGCAACGUCACCAAGAUCCCCGCAAAUUAUAACAAAGACCACAGUGGUUCAUCAACAGAGCAUCUCUGAAACUUGAAGCUUUCACCCUUGCUUGACAAGGCCGCAAAGCUCUCCGUUCUUGAGUUCCCCGACAAGAUCGUUGACUGUGUAAGGCAAGCCUCACUUCGCUGACUUCAACCUGGUUCCUUACGAAUGGGGAGGCUUCGUUCACCCUUGGAUUGAUGCAUUAGCUAUGGCCCGAGUGGGUCUCGAGGAGCUUAGGUUGAAGAAGAUGGUUGCCUCAGACGAAAGCCUUGAGCUUCUUUCAAGUUCCUUUGCGAGUUUCCCCGUCUCUUGUGCUCGUUUGUUUCUCUCCGCAACUGGCACGAACAGGAGAGGAAAAGAGUUCGGUAAGAACAAGCUCAUCUCCUGAUCUCGCAAGACUGCAACGAUGGAGCUCGAUCUUGCAAGAUAAGCUCACGGACCAGAGUUCUACACAAGCCUGGCUUCACAAGAUUGUUUACCGCUCAAAACGCAUUCCAACCCGUCGUUAAGUUUAGCUUCUUGGACAGAAGCAAUCACGUGACGGCCUUGGCAGUAACGCUUCGAUCUACGCACCGGCUUCUUACACUUCACCACCAUCACGUCUUCAAAAGCUCUGUACAACCAGAAAUGUUGAGCAGCAAACACGAUCUCGGCAGAGGAUGCAAUGGUCGCGACGAUGUUGUGAGAAGAUCAAUUUGUAACACACGGAUUCAUCACAGUUCAUCCGUGUCUCUAUAGUGGUUAUUACAAGCUUCUGUGAAAAUCAGAGCUCAGCAACCUCAACUGCACGAGUCAAGAUUCUCUGCAAGUGGAUAUAAGAAUAGCUUGAUUUAUUACUUCCUUCUCGACAACCACGUCCUCGGACACUUCUUUCUUCUCCACACUAAAGAUAAGCCCUCUCACUAAAUCAUCACAUGCUUUAAUCACCUUUAUAUUAUACAUAUGUCUCAUGGUGAAGAUCAUAGCUGUGGUUUAUUAUUUAAAAAAAAAAAACUCUAACCUUUUCAUUCUCGUAUAACCUUUAUGAGAUGAUAUUAAUAAAUAGCAGUUAUCAUAUUCGUGGGUUAUGCAAAAGUUGCUUGUUUCUUUUGGUUUAUACUAAUCUGAUCAUGAUCAUGUUUUUUGUGAGCCAGUGAUCGUUAGGCCAAAGAGAAUCAACAAGCGGUUGCCACCGUCAUGUCCUCACGCUUCGAAAGAUGAGCUUUCGACUACGAGCUUGUCGGGAACAGAACAAACGGCACAAGCCAGCACAUUUUUCAACGUCAUCAUAGCCUGACGAACACACAAGCCAACAGCUUGCUUGGCACACACGAUCUCAACACGAGACUUCGGAUCGGCAAUAGUUCGGUAAACGUGUAUUUUAGGCACGAGUUUAAAUUGAACUUGCUUUUUAUUAGGCACGAGUUUGCGGUCGACUCGCUUAUUGUUAGACACGAGUUUACAAAAACUCAUCUUUGGCUAGGCAUGAGUUUACAGAAGCUCUCCUUCCACUAGGCACGAGUUCUCAGUAAACUCGCCUCUAUCUUAGCAUGAGUCAAGUAAACUCGUCUUUCGCUAAGCACAAGUAAACGGUCUUAAAAACUACAAGACUGGUUUGUGGAUGAAAAGAGAAGGCGUUCUCUUGCAUCAACUAAAUAAUAUCGAAUGUAAUAACUAAUUAAACACACUAGACUACAGAAACACCUGUUGAUCCGAUCUCAAACCAAAGACGUUCAUGACCAGUGACCACUAGUUCUGCAAUCAAAAGGAUUGGCUAUCUAGUUCGGUAAAAGCUUUUAAUGAUACAAACAAUAGCCAAUGUGCUUCAACCAGGGAGUUCAGUUCAGGUUCCUUGGUGACCAAAGAUGUUUCACUGGGAGAACAUUAUUGAACGAUGACCAUCUAUUCAACGAUUUCCCCUUCCUCUAGUCCAUCAAUGUCCAAAUCAGCAGCAGCUAGACUCUGGAGAUUGCAAUCCUCAUCUGAAUCAAACCCCUUUGCAAACUCACAUUCGAAAUUGAAAUAGUCACCAGGGUUCAACUCCGGGAAAAUAUCAGCGUAUGUGUCUAUUAACCCUUGCUCAAACUCCAGCUCCAUGUUAUCAUCAACAUGAUGUGCAUUCUUGGCACCCCCACCCUCAGCCUUGCUGACCUCUGAGACUUGCCGACGCGGGUUAGAGUUAAUCUGUUUCAUAAGAUCAAGAACCUCUGGCUCAAAUGAGUCAAUGUCGUCAUCUUCUUCUAUUUCCUCUUCUCGCGUGGUUGCACCUUCUGCCUGGCUAUAGUAUUUAGGCUCAGGUGUCGUUUUCUCACUGUCGAAGUCUCUGAUAACUUCAAAGUCGUAGCUGUGCGAAGGAAGAUAAACAUGGAUCACCGGGUACUCUAAGAUAGUUACUUGAGCAAGCUGCUGCC
rnacentral:lncRNA from 1 species